rnacentral:rRNA from 1 species
UACGGAGGAGGCAAGCGUUAUCCGGAAUUAUUGGGCGUGAAGCGUCCGCAGGUGGCUAUUCAAGUCUGCGGUCAAAGACUGGGGCUUAACCCUGGAAAGGCCGUGGAAACUGAAGAGCUAGAGUGCAGUAGGGGUAGAGGGAAUUCCCGGUGUAGCGGUGAAAUGCGUAGAGCUCGGGAAGAACAUCGGUGGCGAAAGCGCUCUGCUGGACUGCAACUGACACUCAGGGACGAAAGCUAGGGUAGCAAAUGGG